rnacentral:rRNA from 1 species
AUACGUAGGUGACAAGCGUUAUCCGGAUUUACUGGGCGUAAAGGGCGUGUAGGCGGUCUUGCAAGUCAGAAGUGAAAUUCCUGAGCUCAACUCGGGCGCUGCUUCUGAAACUGCCGGACUUGAGUGCUGGAGGGGAUAGCGGAAUUCCUAGUGGAGCGGGAAAAUGGGCAGAUAUUAGGAAGAAAACCGGUGGCGAAGGCGGGUAACUGGACUGCAACUGACGCUGAGGCGCGAAAGUGUGGGGAGCAAACAGGAUUAGAUACCCUGGUAGUCCACACUGUAAACGAUGAAUGCUAGGUGUAAGAGGUAUCGACCCCUUUUGUGCCGGAGUCAACACAAUAAGCAUUCCGCCUGGGGAGUACGGCCGCAAGGUUGAAACUCAAAUGAAUUGGCGGGG